rnacentral:rRNA from 1 species
ACGGAAGGCAGCAGUGAGGAAUAUUGGUCAAUGGGCGGAAGCCUGAACCAGCCAAGUCGCGUGAAGGAUGAAGGUAUUAUGUAUUGUAAACUUCUUUAGUCGUAGAGAAAUAAGGAGGUCGUGACCUCUGAUGCUAGUAUACGUAGAAUAAGGAUCGGCUAACUCCGUGCCAGCAGCCGCGGUAAUACGGAGGAUCCGAGCGUUAUCCGGAUUUAUUGGGUUUAAAGGGAGCGUAGGCCGUGCUUUAAGCGUGUUGUGAAAUGUAGGCGCCCAACGUCUGCACUGCAGCGCGAACUGGAGCACUUGAGUACGCAGGAAGUAGGCGGAAUUCGUCGUGUAGCGGUGAAAUGCUUAGAUAUGACGAAGAACUCCGAUUGGGAAGCCAGCUUACUGUAGCGCCACUGACGCUGAUGCUCGAAAGCGUGGGUAUCGAACAGGAUUAGAUACCCUGGUA